CCUACGUGUGGCAGCAGUAGGGAAUCUUCGGCAAUGGACGAAAUUCUGACCGAGCAACGCCGCGUGAGUGAAGAAGGUUUUCGGAUCGUAAAACUCUGUUGGUAGAGAAGAACGUUGGUGAGAGUGUCAAGCUCAUCAAGUGACGGUAACUCCCCAGAAAUGGACGGCUAACUACGUGCCAGCAGCCGCGGUAAUCCGUAGGUCCCGAGCGUUGUCCGGAUUUAUUGGGCGUAAAGCGGGCGCAGGUGUUUGAUUAAGUCUGGUGUAAAAGGCAGUGGCUCAACCAUUGUAUGCAUUGGAAACUGGUAGACUGGAGUGCAGGAGAGGAGAGUGGAAGUCCAUGUGGAGCGGUGAAAUGCGUAGAGAUAGGGAGGAACACCGGUGGCGAAAGCGGCUCUCUGGCCUGUAACUGACACUGAGGCUCGAAAGCGUGGGGAGCAAACAGGAUUAGAGACCCGUGUAGUC
rnacentral:rRNA from 1 species